CCUACGGGUGGCUGCAGUAAGGAAUAUUGGUCAAUGGAGGAAACUCUGAACCAGCCAUCCCGCGUGAAGGAUGAAGGGGCUCUGCCUUGUAAACUUCUUUUGUCUGGGGCGAAAAAGCUCGAUUUAUCGAGAACUGACGGUACCAGAAGAAUAAGCACCGGCUAACUCCGUGCCAGCAGCCGCGGUAAUACGGAGGGUGCAGGAGUCAUCCGGAAUAACGGGGGCGAAGGCGUCUUAGUGCGUCUUUGUAGAAAGGCUGUGGAUUAACCAUGGAAUUGCCAUUGAUACUGCAGAGCUGGAAUGAGGUUGAGGUUGGCGGAAUGUGACAUGUAGCGGUGAAAUGCGUAGAUAUGUCAUGGAACACCGAUUGCGAAGGCAGCUGACUGGACCUAUAUUGACGCUGAGGCACGAAAGCGUGGGGAGCGAACAGGAUUAGAUACCCUAGUAGUC
rnacentral:rRNA from 1 species